AGGCAGCUUGCAGCUGGUAAACCAUUCAACUUGUGCGUGGUAAGGAGAUCUGGAUCACUACUGACUACAAUCACUUGGGAGACGAGAACAUGAUUGCCAUGAGCUACCCAAAGCUUCCAGUAGAUGUGAAGGCUGGAGACACCAUCUUGUGCUCCGAUGGUACCAUUACUUUGCUGGUUCUUGAGUGCGACGCCGAGAAGGGCUUAGUGAAGUGCCGAUGCGAGAACACAGCCAUGCUGGGGGAGAAGAAAAACGUGAACUUGCCGGGAAUCAUUGUGGAUUUGCCGACAAUCACGCCGAAGGAUAUCGAUGACAUCUUGAAUUGGGGCGUGCCAAAUAAGAUCGAUUUUAUUGCAGCGUCCUUCGUGCGCAAGGGGUCAGACCUGAUAGAAAUCAAGAAGUUGUUAGGAGAGGCAUCCAAGUCGAUUCACAUAAUUUCAAAAGUCGAGAACCAGGAAGGUCUGGUCAACUUCGACGAUAUAUUGAAAGAGACGGAUGGAGUCAUGGUGGCCAGAGGUGACCUGGGUAUGGAGAUUCCAACAGAAAAGAUCUUUCUGGCGCAGAAGAUGAUGAUCUACAAGUGCAACUCUGCAGGAAAGCCGGUGGUGACCGCGACACAGAUGCUGGAGUCGAUGAUCAAGUCUCCUCGGCCGACUCGUGCCGAAGCGACAGAUGUGGCAAACGCUGUGCUGGAUGGGACAGAUGCUGUGAUGCUGAGUGGAGAGACAGCAAAUGGCUCGUACCCUGAGCUAGCUGUAGCAGUGAUGUCCCACAUUUGUCAGGAAGCUGAGGCUGCUUUGGACCAUGGAUCUAUAUUCAAGGAAAUCAUGAAAUCCGUUCCUUUGCCUAUGAGCCCGUUGGAGAGUUUGGCCUCCUCUGCUGUGCGAACUGCGAACAAAGUGUGUGCCUCUCUUAUCAUUGUGCUGACGCGCGGAGGCAGCACUGCCCGACUUGUGGCAAAGUAUCGACCAUUGGUACCAAUUCUUUCAGUGGCAGUUCCCGUAAUGACAACAGACAGUCUGACCUGGACUUGCAGCGAGGAGUCACCAGCUCAUCACAGCUUGGUCGUUAGAGGUCUUGUACCGCUUUUGGCGGAAGGCUCAGCAAAGGCCACCGAUUCAGAGUCAACAGAUGAUAUCUUAAAUGCUGCUAUUGGAUACGCACUGAAACGGAAGCUUUGUUUGGUGGGUGACUCCAUUGUGGCGCUUCAUCGAAUUGGUGUGGCAUCCGUUAUCAAGAUCAUGGAGGUCAAGGAACCUACAAAUACUUUCUCUACUGUCUAGAAAGGACAUAUUUUACAUUUAUUUUUCGAUUCUUUGGACCUUUUUUCAGUCUACACAGGAUGGGGCGAUUUUCCAGCAAUUAGUGAAAGAUUUGGUCAUCAUGGCAUGUAUGCUAAUGGACGGUCUUCUUCAGCUAUGUCUUUUGCCGUUCCGCCAAUGUAGAAACAUACGUUGUGUUAGGGGCCAGGGGACGUCAAUUUAACUCGGAUCAUGUGUUACAUUAUGUAGAGGUUGAUUCUUAUUAGCUAAUCAGGCUGACCCUCAGGAUCCUUUACUGUGAACUUGAGAUAGUGGUUGUGAAGUGUCCUCAUCUCUUGUCUGGGCCUCCUUCACACCCAAGCAAGUUUACUUUUUGGAGUGCUGCGAUUUUUAUACGCACUAUCCCAGAGAUGUCAGACUCUCGAUUAAGUUUGCCGACAGUCCAGUUGAUAAUAAAAUUUUGCCUCAGCUCUACACAUUUUUGUUUGGAA